AGAGUUUGAUCAUGGCUCAGAACGAACGCUGGCGGCAGGCCUAACACAUGAAAGUCGAACGCUCCGCAAGGAGAGUGGCGCACGGGUGAGUAACGCGUGGGAACGUGCCCUUAGGUACGGAACAACAGCUGGAAACGGCUGCUAAUACCGUAUGAUGUCUUCGGACCAAAGAUUUAUCGCCUAAGGAUCGGCCCGCGUUAGAUUAGAUAGUUGGUGGGGUAAAGGCCUACCAAGUCUACGAUCUAUAGCUGGUCUAAGAGGAUGAUCAGCCACACUGGAACUGAGACACGGUCCAGACUCCUACGGGAGGCAGCAGUGAGGAAUAUUGGACAAUGGGCGCAAGCCUGAUCCAGCCAUGCCGCGUGAAUGAUGAAGGCCUUAGGGUUGUAAAGUUCUUUUAGCUGUGACGAUGAUGACGGUAGCAGCAGAAAAAGCCCCGGCUAACUCCGUGCCAGCCGCCGCGGUAAUAC
rnacentral:rRNA from 1 species